UAUUCUAUCAUUAUCUAGUGCAUCUUUUGU
rnacentral:piRNA from 1 species